UCAUUCUUCCCUCUCAGAGUCUAUCCUUGAUAUGUUCAUCCUAACCGGUGACAGAUAUUCUCCCCUUUUUGUAUUCUAUCCAGUAUUCGAUAGAUGUAAUUCCUACUUUGUUCUAGUAUCUUAUCCUUGAUAUGUUUUUCUUAACCGGUGACGGGUAUCCUCCUUAACAUCCCCAGGCAAGACUGUCCUUGAUAUGUUCAUCUUAACCGAUGACGAAUUUCCUUUCCUUUGAGUCUAUCCUUGAUAUGUUCAUUUUAAU
rnacentral:lncRNA from 1 species